UACAGAGGGGGCAAGCGUUGUUCGGAAUUACUGGGCGUAAAGGGCGCGUAGGCGGCCCUCUAAGUCAUGCGUGAAAUCCCCGGGCUCAACCCGGGAACUGCGUCUGAUACUGGAGGGCUCGAAUCCGGGAGAGGGAUGCGGAAUUCCAGGUGUAGCGGUGAAAUGCGUAGAUAUCUGGAGGAACACCGGUGGCGAAGGCGGCAUCCUGGACCGGCAUUGACGCUGAGGCGCGAAAGCCAGGGGAGCAAACGGG
rnacentral:rRNA from 1 species